rnacentral:rRNA from 1 species
CAAAAGCGUAUAUUAAAGUUGUUGCAGUUAAAAAGCUCGUAGUUGAACCUUGGGCUUGGCUGGCCGGUCCAUCUUUUUUGAUGCGUACUGGACCCAGCCGAGCCUUUCCUUCUGGCUAGCCUUUGGCGAACCAGGACUUUUACUUUGAAAAAAUUAGAGUGUUCAAAGCAGGCCUUUGCUCGAAUAUAUUAGCAUGGAAUAAUAGAAUAGGACGUUAUGGUUCUAUUUUGUUGGUUUCUAGGACCAUCGUAAUGAUUAAUAGGGACGGUCGGGGGUAUCAGUAUUCAGUUGUCAGAGGUGAAAUUCUUGGAUUUACUGAAGACUAACUACUGCGAAAGCAUUUACCAAGGACGUUUUCAUUAA